rnacentral:rRNA from 1 species
UACGUAGGGUGCAAGCGUUGUCCGGAAUUAUUGGGCGUAAAGAGCUCGUAGGCGGUUUGUUGCGUCGGCUGUGAAAUCCCGAGGCUCAACCUCGGGUCUGCAGUCGAUACGAGCAAACUAGAGUGUUGCAGGGGAGACUGGAAUUCCUGGUGUAGCGGUGAAAUGCGCAGAUAUCAAGGAGGAACACCGGUGGGCGAAGGC